CGCCUGCGCCUGCGAGCUAGUGGGAGGGCGGUUCUCAGUCCCGCGGGGUGUGGAAGCCGGCGCGGGUGAGAGCCAGGCUCACGUGACCGAGCGGGGCGGGAGGCUGGGCUCCAGGCCACGUGCUGGGAGACCAGCUGGGGAAGACAGGGUUGAGCCCAGCGUUGGGAGCGGAGGCGUCUGGAAAACGCGCCAGGGAAAUGAGCCAGGGGCAAGAAUCGAGGCGCUUCUCGGCCGUCGAAGGCAGCUUAGGACUGCUGAGAGACUGGUGGAUUUAAUCGUCUGGGAAGGAGUUUCUAGCCGCAGCCAAUCUUACAGACGCGCAGAAUAUUAAUCUAUUUUGUGCCGACUUAAGGCACGCAUAUUUUAGGAUUUGUGGAUUCCCAAGACCUAUCCCAACGAACUCAAGAGAAGGGGUAAGGCCAGAAAGAUUUCUGCCAUAAGAAUGACUUCUAGGCCAGGCGCGGUGGCUCACGCCUGUAAUCCCAGCACUUUGGGAGGCCGAGGCGAACGGAUCACCUGAGGUCAGGAGUUUGAGACCAGCCUGACCAACAUCGUGAAACCCCGUCUGUACUAAAAAUACAGAAAAUGAGCCGGGCGUGGUGGCGGGCGCCUGUUAUCCCAGUUACUCGGGAGGGUGAGGCAAGAGAAUCGCUUGAACCCGGGAGGCGGAGGUUGCGGUGAGCCAAGAUCAGGCCACUGCACUCCAGCCUGGGCAACAGGAGCGAAACUCUGUCUGAAAAAAGAAAAAAAAAAAAAGCAUGACUUCUAAAAUAACAGAAAGGUGCUCGCUUUGGCAGUACAUAAAUGAAAAUAACAGAAAUUAACCCUGGUAGAAAAGUUAAGGGCAUUAGCUCUACUGAACCUUUACGAAAAAAAGGGUUGCAAGAAUUCUAGGCUCACAAAACAAAUUUGUAGUUCAAUUUUCUCAAAAUUGAAAGAGGAGGAAAAAAUUCUUUACAGAUUCUUAUACAACCAGUAUUAUUUUUAUUUAUUUAUUUAUUUAUUUAUUUAUUUAGAGACGGAGUCUGGCUAUGUCGCCCAGGCUGGAGUGCAGUGGCGCGAUCUCGGCUCACUGCAGCCUCCGCCUCCCGGGUUCAAGCGUUUCUCCUGCUUCAUCCUCCUGAGUAGCUGGGACUACAGGCGCGUGCCACCAAGCCUGGCUAAUUUUUGUAUUUUUAGUAGAGACAGGGUUUCACCAUUUUGGCCAGGAUGGUUUUGAUCUCUUGACCUCGUUAUCUGCCUGCCUAGACCUUCCAAAGUGCUGGAAUUACAGGCGUGAGCCACCGCGCCCGGCCACAACCAGUAUUUCUUGCAAAGCAUAAUACAACUUUAUGUAGUAUUAUGUUUUGAGUGGAAUAAAAAUUCACAAUUGUCAAAGAACCUUUUUGUCGCAUUUCAUUUUACAAUAUUAUUAAAGAAAUGAGGCAAGGAAGAGAUGUUUUAUUGGCACUUUCUAAUUGAUUAUGUCUUCCACUCUUUCUAAUGAAAGGGGUUAUUUUAACACAGCAACAUGAUGAAAGAAAGCCCUAGAGAUGAGUAGAAAUGAAUAGUGUUGAGCUUUUCCAUCCUUCCUGCUUUGCAGCCUGGGGAGUAAAUUUCAGUCCAAGUUACUUCAUUUUGCAGCAAGACAAUUUAAUGAAGUCCACUAGUAGUUUGCUGCUUCAUGAGGUUCUACUGUCAGCUUUGACUUUUGGUACAAUUAAGGAGCCACAAAGUCCCUGGAGUAGAUUAUGAAACUUCUUACCCUUACUCUUAUAAUGUCAGGCUUGAGGAUUUAAACCAGUUUCCCUGUUUCCUUGCACGGUGUUAAUAUACUUGGUUUGCCUCCAAUCAAGUUUUUUUUUUUUCCUUUUUAAAAUCCUCCUUCCCUUAGUGGGAAUAGAUGUUUAAAAUUCAGUGUUCUUGCUUGAUGACUUGUGAUGUAUAUAAAAAAACUCGAUGUUCAUUAAAAAGCUAGCAAACUUUGGCUCAAAGAAAAUGUUGCAUUUAUAGCUAGUCAGUGAAUCUCCUCUGGCCUCAAUUUCCCCAGUUCCACAACACAUUUCUCUCCUUGGGGUGCUGCAAGCGGUUAAUUAAUUAAGAUUUGUAAAAGGCUUUGAGGAGUAGGGGACAAAGUAUUAUUAGGGUCUC
rnacentral:lncRNA from 10 species